rnacentral:rRNA from 1 species
AGAGCGAACGCUGGCGGCAGGCCUAACACAUGCAAGUCGAGCGCCCGUAGCAAUACGGGAGCGGCAGACGGGAUAGUAACACGUGGGAACGCGCCCUUCGGUUCGGAAUAACUCAGGGAAACUUGAGCUAAUACCGGAUACGCCCUUACGGGGAAAGAUUUAUUGCCGAAGGAACGGCCCGCGUCCGAUUAGCUAGUUGGUGAGGUAAUGGCUCACCAAGGCGACGAUCGGUAGCUGGUCUGAGAGGAUGACCAGCAUCACUGGGACUGAGACACGGCCCAGACUCCUACGGGAGGCAGCAGUGGGGAAUAUUGGACAAUGGGCGCAAGCCUGAUCCAGCCAUGCCGCGUGGAUGAUGGAGGCCUUAGGGUUGUAAAGUCCUUUUAACGGGGAAGAUAAUGACGUACCGUAGAAUAAGCCCCGGCUAACUUCGCGCCAGCAGCCGC